UACAGGGGGGGCAAGCGUUGUUCGGAUUCAUUGGGCGUAAAGGGUGCGUAGGCGGCGCGGUAAGUCGGAUGUGAAAUCUCGGAGCUUAACUUCGAAACUGCAUUCGAUACUGCCGUGCUUGAGGACUGGAGAGGAGACUGGAAUUUACGGUGUAGCGGUGAAAUGCGUAGAUAUCGUAAGGAAGACCAGUGGCGAAGGCGGGUCUCUGGACAGUUCCUGACGCUGAGGCACGAAGGUCAGGGGAGCAAACGGG
rnacentral:rRNA from 1 species